rnacentral:rRNA from 1 species
AGAGCGAACGCUGGCGGCAGGCUUAACACAUGCAAGUCGAGCGGGCGUAGCAAUACGUCAGCGGCAGACGGGUGAGUAACGCGUGGGAACAUACCUUUUGGUUCGGAACAACACAGGGAAACUUGUGCUAAUACCGGAUAAGCCCUUACGGGGAAAGAUUUAUCGCCGAAAGAUUGGCCCGCGUCUGAUUAGCUAGUUGGUGAGGUAAUGGCUCACCAAGGCGACGAUCAGUAGCUGGUCUGAGAGGAUGAUCAGCCACAUUGGGACUGAGACACGGCCCAAACUCCUACGGGAGGCAGCAGUGGGGAAUAUUGGACAAUGGGCGCAAGCCUGAUCCAGCCAUGCCGCGUGAGUGAUGAAGGCCCUAGGGUUGUAAAGCUCUUUUGUGCGGGAAGAUAAUGACGGUACCGCAAGAAUAACGCCCGGCUAACUUCGCGCCAGCAGCCGC